rnacentral:rRNA from 1 species
CGGAGGGUGCAAGCGUUGUCCGGAUUUAUUGGGUUUAAAGGGUGCGUAGGCGGUCCUGUAAGUCAGCGGUGAAAUCCCGACGCUCAACGUCGGAAUUGCCGUUGAUACUGCCGGACUUGAGUUCGACCGAGGUCGUUGGAACGCGUAGUGUUGCGGUGAAAUGCUUAGAUAUUACGCAGAACACCGAUUGCGAAGGCAGAUGGCUAGGUCGCGACUGACGCUGAGGCACGAAAGUGCGGGGAUCAAACAGGAUUAGAUACCCUGGUAGUCCGCACCGUAAACGAUGGAUACUAGGUGUCCGGCCUUUCGGGGCUGGGUGCCCAAGGGAAACCGAUAAGUAUCCCACCUGGGGAGUACGUCCGCAAGGAUG